rnacentral:rRNA from 1 species
CACGUAGGGGGCGAGCGUUGUUCGGAAUUACUGGGCGUAAAGGGCAUGUAGGCGGCUCUGUAAGCUUGGCGUGAAAGUCACCGGCUCAACCGGUGGAUUGCGUUGAGAACUGCGGAGCUUGAAUCAUGGAGAGGGAGCUAGAAUUCCAGGUGUAGGGGUGAAAUCUGUAGAGAUCUGGAAGAAUACCAGUGGCGAAGGCGAGCUCCUGGCCAAUGAUUGACGCUGAGGUGCGAAAGUGUGGGGAUCAAACAGG